rnacentral:rRNA from 1 species
UACGGGGGGGGCAAGCGUUGUUCGGAAUUACUGGGCGUAAAGGGCUCGUAGGCGGCCAACUAAGUCGGACGUGAAAUCCCCGGGCUUAACCUGGGAAUUGCAUUUCAAACUGGCCGACUAGAGUACGGUAGAGGGAGGUAGAAUUUCCUGUGUAGCGGUGAAAUGCGUAGAUAUAGGAAGGAAUACCAGUGGCGAAGGCGGCCUCCUGGAUCGAUACUGACGCUGAGGCGCGAAAGCGUGGGGAGCAAACAGG